rnacentral:ncRNA from 1 species
AAAUGGUGGGGUGGCGUUGGUUCCUGUCCUAGGACAGGCGAAGAGGGAAUGCGAUAGGGCUCUAGCCGCGAAGCUUGGACCUGAAGCGCAGCCGCCCCCGCGACCGUGACCGGAGAGAUCUCUAGGAGCCACUGACCCGUCAAGGGUUGGGAAGGUGGAGAUCGAAGGGAAAACCUGCUCCGCAAGCCGGGAGACCUGCCAGCGCAGAGACUUGAGA